rnacentral:rRNA from 1 species
AACGAACGCUGGCGGCAUGCCUAACACAUGCAAGUCGAACGAGACCUUCGGGUCUAGUGGCGCACGGGUGCGUAACGCGUGGGAAUCUGCCCUUGGGUUCGGGAUAACAGUUGGAAACGACUGCUAAUACCGGAUGAUGACUUCGGUCCAAAGAUUUAUUGCCCAGGGAUGAGCCCGCGUCGGAUUAGCUAGUUGGUGGGGUAAAGGCCUACCAAGGCGACGAUCCGUAGCUGGUCUGAGAGGAUGAUCAGCCACACUGGGACUGAGACACGGCCCAGACUCCUACGGGAGGCAGCAGUGGGGAAUAUUGGACAAUGGGCGAAAGCCUGAUCCAGCAAUGCCGCGUGAGUGAUGAAGGCCUUAGGGUUGUAAAGCUCUUUUACCCGGGAUGAUAAUGACAGUACCGGGAGAAUAAGCCCCGGCUAACUCCGUGCCAGCCGCCGCGGUAACAC